CGGGGUGUAGCUCAGAUGGUAGAGUGCUGCGUUUGGGACGCAGAGGUCCCCGGUUCGAGACCGGGCACCCCGA
rnacentral:tRNA from 1 species